UGAUGAAAAACCUAAAUAUUUGGGAACAGC
rnacentral:piRNA from 1 species